rnacentral:rRNA from 1 species
AUGUCUGGGAAACUGCCCGGUGGAGGGGGAUAACUACUGGAAACGGUAGCUAAUACCGCAUAACGUCUUCGGACCAAAGUGGGGGAYCUUMGGRCCUCACGCCAGUUGAUGUGCCCAGAUGGGAUUAGCUAGUAGGUGGGGUAUGGGCUCACCUAGGCGACGAUCCCUAGCUGGUCUGAGAGGAUGACCAGCCACACUGGAACUGAGAAACGGUCCAGACUCCUACGGGAGGCAGCAGUGGGGAAUAUUGCACAAUGGGCGCAAGCCUGAUGCAGCCAUGCCGCGUGUAUGAAGAAGGCCUUCGGGUUGUAAAGUACUUUCAGCGGGGAGGAAGGCGGUGAGGUUAAUAACCUYGCCGAUUGACGUUACCCGCAGAAGAAGCACCGGCUAACUCCGUGCCAGCAGCCGCGGUAAUACGGAGGGUGCAAGCGUUAAUCGGAAUUACUGGGCGUAAAGCGCACGCAGGCGGUCUGUUAAGUCAGAUGUGAAAUCCCCGGGCUUAACCUGGGAACUGCAUUUGAAACUGGCAGGCUUGAGUCUCGUAGAG